AUUGAACGCUGGCGGCAGGCCUAACACAUGCAAGUCGAACGAGUGGCGGACGGGUGCGUAAUGUCUGGGACACUGCCUGAUGGAGGGGGAUAACUACUGGAAACGGUAGCUAAUACCGCAUACCAUCGGAUGUGCCCAGAUGGGAUGAGCUAGUAGGUGGGGUAACGGCUCACCUAGGCGACGAUCCCUAGCUGGUCUGAGAGGAGGACCAGCCACACUGGAACUGAGACACGGUCCAGACUCCUACGGUAGCCAUCAGUGGGGAAGAUUGCACAAUGGGCGCAAGCCUGAUGCAGCCAUGCCGCGUGUAUGAAGAAGGCCUUCGGGUUGUAAAGUACUUUCAGCGGGGAGGCGUUACCCGCAGAAGAAGCACCGGCUAACUCCGUGCCAGCCGCCGCGGUAAUAC
rnacentral:rRNA from 1 species